GACGAACGCUGGCGGCGUGCCUAAUACAUGCCAGUAGAACGCUGAAGCGAGGAGCUUGCUCUUCUUGGAUGAGUUGCGAACGGGUGAGUAACGCGUAGGUAACCUGCCUUGUAGCGGGGGAUAACUAUUGGAAACGAUAGCUAAUACCGCAUAACAAUGGAUGACACAUGUCAUUUAUUUGAAAGGGGCAAUUGCUCCACUACAAGAUGGACCUGCGUUGUAUUAGCUAGUAGGUGAGGUAAUGGCUCACCUAGGCGACGAUACAUAGCCGACCUGAGAGGGUGAUCGGCCACACUGGGACUGAGACACGGCCCAGACUCCUACGGGAGGCAGCAGGAGGGAAUCUUCGGCAAUGGGGGCAACCCUGACCGAGCAACGCCGCGUGAGUGAAGAAGGGUUUCGGAUCGUAAAGCUCUGUUGUAAGUCAAGAACGGGUGUGAGAGUGGAAAGUUCACACUGUGACGGUAGCUUACCAGAAAGGGACGGCUAACUACGUG
rnacentral:rRNA from 1 species